UGGAAGUAGGAAUGAGUGUUUAUUUGCUC
rnacentral:piRNA from 1 species